rnacentral:rRNA from 1 species
CAGCAGCCGCGGUAAUACGGAGGGUGCGAGCGUUAUCCGGAAUUACUGGGUUUAAAGGGUGCGUAGGCGGCGUUGUAAGUCAGGAGUGAAAGUCUGCGGCUCAACCGUAAAAUUGCUUUUGAUACUGCAAUGCUAGAAUCAGGAUGAGGUUAGCGGAAUGUGGCAUGAAGCGGUGAAAUGCAUAGAUAUGCCAUAGAGCACCAAUUGCGAAGGCAGCUGGCUAGACCUGAAUUGACGCUGAGGCACGAAAGCGUGGGGAGCGAACAGGAUUAGAUACCCUGGUAGUCCACGCCCUAAACGAUGCUCACUCGACGUAUGGCGCUAGACGUUGUGCGUCCAAGGGAAACCGUUAAGUGAGCCACCUGGGGAGUACGACCGCAAGGUUGAAACUCAAAGGAAUUGACGG